CUAGCCUCAACCCACUCCCCGCGCGGCGGCACCAACCAAAGCCCCGUCGGCGCCGGCCUGCCCACAUCUGCACCGCCGCCUGCAUCCCGCCUAACGCCACCCCCAGCGAGCCACCACCCCUCCCUGUCCCGCACCCAAAACCCCAGCGACGCGCGCCGCCGCGGCGCCGCCCACCACCAGUAUCCCGCGCUGCCGUCGCCGACCACUAGGACCUCUCGCCGCCGCCCACCACCACCUGGAUGUCCCCCUCUGCGCACGGAUCCGGUCUUGCCCGAGCUCCCCCUGGGACGGAUGAACACAGGGCAGAGGCACCUGUGCUGGGAGGAGCAGAAUAGGGGCGCCGACACCAGGAAUAGCAAGUCGUGCCUCACCCGGCCACCUCCUCGCUUCUCCCUCCGCCGGAGCGUGCCGACGCCCCGUAUCCCACCGCCGGUGCCGCUCCUCAACUCUGGCGACGCCAAGAGCCUGCACCACCUUGGGUCUUUACCCACGCAGCCAGUGGCGGCUUCCUCUUCCUCCAGCCGCUCGCGCUCCUCCGUGGAGGACUCCCGUUGUCGCCUCUGUAACCCCUGCCUAAGCAUCCAUCGCACGUGACCUUCUCUGGCGUGUCUGAUCGACCUUCCCAUCGUCUCUUGCUUGAACGUCUGAAUUGCUGCUGCUCCUCCAUGUAAAUCUGCUGCUAGAUGAAGACCAUGUAAAUCUGAACGUUCUAAAUCUGCUGCACUACUAGGGUUGCUCUGUGUUGUGCCCUUUUGUUGGGUGAAGCUAUUCUUAUCUGCUAGCUUUGACAUAGGCUGGUACAUCAUUUGGAGCUUGGAAUCGAUUUCAUCAUCAGGUUAAAAAAAGAGUUUUUGGUGGCUCAGUUCAACAUAUUCACUUGCACUGGAAAUACAGGGGACUAGUGAUUUGUGGAAUUUGAGCUACAGAGAAUUGAGCCCCCACACACCGCCGCCCCAUCCACCAUCGCGACAAGCAUCCCUGGGAUUGCCACGACCUCGCACAUGCCAUGGGUGUGGCCCUAGAUGAGAUGCAGCUCCCCUUCGCCCGGCUCCAUCUCCCCACCGUUGUCAUGACACAUGAGUUCAGAUGUUAACUAGAAUGCUAGAGACGGAAUGCUAGAGACGGAUUUCUAGGAGCAACAAUAGGGGCACCGUUGGAUGGCAGCAGCGUUCAUGCAACCACAGCAGAGUGCCAGGGAGUUGCAAAAAUCCAGAUCCUGGGUACUCCAUGUGGCCCGUUGUAGUCCGGAUUGGGGUGCAGGCGCCGUCCAAGUCCCAAUUCCCCAAUGAUGACCCAACACCAUCUCAGUCCAGCACCGUAGCACCAGGGAGGUCGAGGCCAUCGCGAGCAGAAGUCCCCAGCAGAAGGGGAAACAAGAAUUACGACCCCUCCAUCCCAUGCGAGCAGUAUGAAAGACAGGGAAGUUCAUCCUGGCAGACUAUGUAGCUCAGUGUGUAUGUUAAAUGAAGGAAAAAGAAAUAGCAGGUGUCCAGCAGCAUCAGUGUGUGGCUCCCCUAUAAUUCUUCUCUCUGUGCGUGUGCACACGCGCUGCACAUGAGGAUAAGUACGAGAUAAAAUGGAGGCGUCCGGGCCAGGACCUGGCGGAGUAGAUUGGCCGGAGUAGUUGGGCAUGGCCAUGGCAUCCGACCGCAGACGAUGACGAAUCCGCAACGUUGUAGCUUGCUGCCGUCGGGUGCGUGCAUUCUGUUGGUGUGUCGCGUGAGUGGUCAGUGUGUGCGUUGUGCUAGUAGUAUGUCCCAUGAGUGGUGAGUGUGUGCGAUGUGCUAGUAGUAUGUGCUGAUGUGCAGGGUGCAUGCAUGUAUGAGUGCACAUGCGUGUUGUCACACACGAACUCAAAAAUGUUUCAGAUUUUGUAGCCAACUCGUGUGCACCACAGCUGUUCGUGUUUAUGACCCAAAAGGAGAAUAUUACAUUUAUACUAAGCAAGAAAAAAAUACAGAGACAUUUUAUCA